CGGCAGGCAAAGUUUAGCUUGCCUAAGAGAGAUUGAAGGCGUCGGAGAGUGAUCUUACGCAAGGAGCCCGCCUCCCGCACCGACCCCCGUAGAUCUACCAAUUUGUCCACCGGGAGCCGACAUUCCCCGAUAACUGAAUCAAUCUCAAUUCCAAGAAAACACAGGCACGUGGAAGGGCCUACUGUCUUGUCGGGCGCCAGCGGCACCCCAAACCCAGAGGCCACAUCCGCCACCGAC